rnacentral:lncRNA from 1 species
CCGAGAAGGAGUCAGAGCUGCUGUGGCUGGCCAGGGAGUGCCUGGUGGCCCCGUUACCCCCUGACUGGAAGCCCUGCCAAGACACCACUGGUGAUGUGUAUUACUUCAACUUUGCAACGGGCCAGUCCAUGUGGGAGCACCCCUGUGAUGAGCAGUACAGGGAGCUGGUGAUCCGGGAGAGGGAGAAGCUGCUGGCACAGGGCAGCCUGAGGAAGGAGAAGAAAGAGAAGAAGCAGAAGAAAGAAAAGAAAGAGAAGAAGGACAAGAAGGAGAAGCAGUCGCGGAAGCAAACCCCUCCCUUGGGCCCCCACCUGGCCCCCAUCCAGCUGCCCCUGGGGACCCUCUCUCCUCUCCGUGGCCUCGCUCCGUCUCAGCCCGUCGUCCUUCGUGGGUCCCCGAGCGUGGGCAGUGUGGUGGACUCCGACCUGAUGGCCAGGGAAGGAACACAGGUGAGGCUCCCUCUUCCCUGGAAGGCACACUGCAAAGGCU